CAGCAGCCGCGGUAAUACGUAGGGUGCGAGCGUUAAUCGGAAUUACUGGGCGUAAAGCGGGCGCAGACGGUUACUUAAGCAGGAUGUGAAAUCCCCGGGCUCAACCUGGGAAUUGCGUUCUGAACUGGGUGGCUAGAGUGUGUCAGAGGGGGGUAGAAUUCCACGUGUAGCAGUGAAAUGCGUAGAGAUGUGGAGGAAUACCGAUGGCGAAGGCAGCCCCUUGGGAUAGCACUGACGUUCAUGCCCGAAAGCGUGGGUAGCAAACAGGAUUAGAUACCCCUGUAGUCCCUGUCUCUUAUAA
rnacentral:rRNA from 1 species